rnacentral:rRNA from 1 species
AUUGAACGCUGGCGGCAGGCCUAACACAUGCAAGUCGAACGAGUGGCGGACGUGUGAGUAAUUUUUGGGAAACUGCCCGAUGGAGGGGGAUAACUACUGGAACCGGUAGCUAAUACCGCAUACCAUCGGAUGUGCACCGAUGCGAAUGGCUUGUAUGUGAGGUAACGGCUCACCUAGGCGACGAUCCCUAGCUGGUCGGAGAGGAUGACCAGCGCCACUGGAACUGAGACACGGUCCAGACUCCUACGUGGGGAAGGAGUGGGGAAUAUGGCACAAUGGGCGCAAGCCUGAUGCAGCCAUGCCGCGUGUACGAAGAAGGCCUUCGGGUUGUAAAGUACUUUCAGUGGGGAGGCGUUACCCGCAGAAGAAGCACCGGCUAACUCCGUGCCAGCAGCCGCGGUAAUUC